UGGGAAGUAUUGCAUCAAUGGCAGGCAAGCAUGCAUGCAGCCAUGCCGCGUGUAUGAAGAAGGCCUUCGGGUUGUAAAGUACUUUCAGCGAGGAGGAAGGCGUUGUGGUUAAUAACCGCAACGAUUGACGUUACUCGCAGAAGAAGCACCGGCUAACUCCGUGCCAGCAGCCGCGGUAAUACGGAGGGUGCAAGCGUUAAUCGGAAUUACUGGGCGUAAAGCGCACGCAGGCGGUCUGUCAAGUCGGAUGUGAAAUCCCGGGCUCAACCUGGAACUGCAUCCGAAACUGGCAGGCUAGAGUCUUGUAGAGGG
rnacentral:rRNA from 1 species